rnacentral:rRNA from 1 species
UUAAGCGACUAAGCGUACACGGUGGAUGCCCUGGCAGUCAGAGGCGAUGAAGGACGUGCUAAUCUGCGAUAAGCGUCGGUAAGGUGAUAUGAACCGUUAUAACCGGCGAUUUCCGAAUGGGGAAACCCAGUGUGAUUCGUCACACUAUCAUUAACUGAAUCCAUAGGUUAAUGAGGCGAACCGGGGGAACUGAAACAUCUAAGUACCCUGAGGAAAAGAAAUCAACCGAGAUUCCCCCAGUAGCGGCGAGCGAACGGGGAGCAGCCCAGAGCCUGAAUCAGUGUGUGUGUUAGUGGAAGCGUCUGGAAAGGCGUGCGAUACAGGGUGACAGCCCCGUACACAAAAAUGCACAUACUGUGAGCUCGAUGAGUAGGGCGGGACACGUGGUAUCCUGUCUGAAUAUGGGGGGACCAUCCUCCAAGGCUAAAUACUCCUGACUGACCGAUAGUGAACCAGUACCGUGAGGGAAAGGCGAAAAGAACCCCGGCGAGGGGAGUGAAAAAGAACCUGAAACCGUGUACGUACAAGCAGUGGGAGCACGCUUAGGCGUGUGACUGCGUACCUUUUGUAUAAUGGGUCAGCGACUUAUAUUCUGUAGCAAGGUUAACCGAAUAGGGGAGCCGAAGGGAAACCGAGUCUUAACUGGGCGUUAAGUUGCAGGGUAUAGACCCGAAACCCGGUGAUCUAGCCAUGGGCAGGUUGAAGGUUGGGUAACACUAACUGGAGGACCGAACCGACUAAUGUUGAAAAAUUAGCGGAUGACUUGUGGCUGGGGGUGAAAGGCCAAUCAAACCGGGAGAUAGCUGGUUCUCCCCGAAAGCUAUUUAGGUAGCGCCUCGUGAAUUCAUCUCCGGGGGUAGAGCACUGUUUCGGCAAGGGGGUCAUCCCGACUUACCAACCCGAUGCAAACUGCGAAUACCGGAGAAUGUUAUCACGGGAGACACACGGCGGGUGCUAACGUCCGUCGUGAAGAGGGAAACAACCCAGACCGCCAGCUAAGGUCCCAAAGUCAUGGUUAAGUGGGAAACGAUGUGGGAAGGCCCAGACAGCCAGGAUGUUGGCUUAGAAGCAGCCAUCAUUUAAAGAAAGCGUAAUAGCUCACUGGUCGAGUCGGCCUGCGCGGAAGAUGUAACGGGGCUAAACCAUGCACCGAAGCUGCGGCAGCGACGCUUAUGCGUUGUUGGGUAGGGGAGCGUUCUGUAAGCCUGUGAAGGUGUGCUGUGAGGUAUGCUGGAGGUAUCAGAAGUGCGAAUGCUGACAUAAGUAACGAUAAAGCGGGUGAAAAGCCCGCUCGCCGGAAGACCAAGGGUUCCUGUCCAACGUUAAUCGGGGCAGGGUGAGUCGACCCCUAAGGCGAGGCCGAAAGGCGUAGUCGAUGGGAAACAGGUUAAUAUUCCUGUACUUGGUGUUACUGCGAAGGGGGGACGGAGAAGGCUAUGUUGGCCGGGCGACGGUUGUCCCGGUUUAAGCGUGUAGGCUGGUUUUCCAGGCAAAUCCGGAAAAUCAAGGCCGAGGCGUGAUGACGAGGCACUACGGUGCUGAAGCAACAAAUGCCCUGCUUCCAGGAAAAGCCUCUAAGCAUCAGGUAACAUCAAAUCGUACCCCAAACCGACACAGGUGGUCAGGUAGAGAAUACCAAGGCGCUUGAGAGAACUCGGGUGAAGGAACUAGGCAAAAUGGUGCCGUAACUUCGGGAGAAGGCACGCUGAUACGUAGGUGAAGCGACUUGCUCGUGGAGCUGAAAUCAGUCGAAGAUACCAGCUGGCUGCAACUGUUUAUUAAAAACACAGCACUGUGCAAACACGAAAGUGGACGUAUACGGUGUGACGCCUGCCCGGUGCCGGAAGGUUAAUUGAUGGGGUUAGCGCAAGCGAAGCUCUUGAUCGAAGCCCCGGUAAACGGCGGCCGUAACUAUAACGGUCCUAAGGUAGCGAAAUUCCUUGUCGGGUAAGUUCCGACCUGCACGAAUGGCGUAAUGAUGGCCAGGCUGUCUCCACCCGAGACUCAGUGAAAUUGAACUCGCUGUGAAGAUGCAGUGUACCCGCGGCAAGACGGAAAGACCCCGUGAACCUUUACUAUAGCUUGACACUGAACAUUGAGCCUUGAUGUGUAGGAUAGGUGGGAGGCUUUGAAGUGUGGACGCCAGUCUGCAUGGAGCCGACCUUGAAAUACCACCCUUUAAUGUUUGAUGUUCUAACGUGGACCCGUGAUCCGGGUUGCGGACAGUGUCUGGUGGGUAGUUUGACUGGGGCGGUCUCCUCCUAAAGAGUAACGGAGGAGCACGAAGGUUGGCUAAUCCUGGUCGGACAUCAGGAGGUUAGUGCAAUGGCAUAAGCCAGCUUGACUGCGAGCGUGACGGCGCGAGCAGGUGCGAAAGCAGGUCAUAGUGAUCCGGUGGUUCUGAAUGGAAGGGCCAUCGCUCAACGGAUAAAAGGUACUCCGGGGAUAACAGGCUGAUACCGCCCAAGAGUUCAUAUCGACGGCGGUGUUUGGCACCUCGAUGUCGGCUCAUCACAUCCUGGGGCUGAAGUAGGUCCCAAGGGUAUGGCUGUUCGCCAUUUAAAGUGGUACGCGAGCUGGGUUUAGAACGUCGUGAGACAGUUCGGUCCCUAUCUGCCGUGGGCGCUGGAGAACUGAGGGGGGCUGCUCCUAGUACGAGAGGACCGGAGUGGACGCAUCACUGGUGUUCGGGUUGUCAUGCCAAUGGCACUGCCCGGUAGCUAAAUGCGGAAGAGAUAAGUGCUGAAAGCAUCUAAGCACGAAACUUGCCCCGAGAUGAGUUCUCCCUGACCCUUUAAGGGUCCUGAAGGAACGUUGAAGACGACGACGUUGAUAGGCCGGGUGUGUAAGCGCAGCGAUGCGUUGAGCUAACCGGUACUAAUGAACCGUGAGGCUUAACCUU